rnacentral:lncRNA from 1 species
AGCCUCAGGAUGUUGGCCAUUGCCCUCUUAGUCCUUCUCUGUGCCUCGGCGUCUGCUAAUUCCAUUCAGUCCAGGUCCUCCUCUUACAGUGGAGAGUAUGGCGGUAAAGGAGGAAAGCGAUUCUCUCACUCUGGCAACCAGCUGGACGGCCCCAUCACUGCCAUCCGGAUCCGUGUCAACAGAUACUACAUAAUAGGUCUCCAGGUGCGCUACGGCACAGUGUGGAGUGACUAUGUGGGUGGCAACCAGGGAGACCUGGAGGAGAUCUUUCUGCACCCCGGGGAAUCUGUGAUCCAGGUGUCUGGCAAGUACAAAUCUUAUGUGAAGCAGCUGAUCUUCGUGACAGACAAAGGCCGCUACCUGCCUUUUGGAAAAGACUCAGGCACAAGUUUCAACGCUGUUCCCUUGCACCCCAACACUGUCCUCCGUUUCAUUAGUGGCCGAUCUGGCUCUGCCAUAGAUGCUAUCAGCCUGCACUGGGAUACCUACCCUAGCCACUGCAACACUUGUUGAAACCCACCAUCCUCUGCUGUGGUGGGUAUGAGAACUCCCUUAUCAACAAGCCCCAGGCAAACAUGCAAAUAGCUUAAUAAAAGGAUAUGGUUAAAGAUGGUGUCUUUCUACAUCCU